GAUGAACGCUAGCGGCAGGCUUAACACAUGCAAGUCGAGGGGUAUAUGUCUUCGGAUAUAGAGACCGGCGCACGGGUGCGUAACGCGUAUGCAAUCUGCCUUUCACAGAGGGAUAGCCCAGAGAAAUUUGGAUUAAUACCUCAUAGUAUAAUCAAGCCGCAUGGUUUAAUUAUUAAAGUCACAACGGUGAAAGAUGAACAUGCGUCCCAUUAGCUAGUUGGUAAGGUAACGGCUUACCAAGGCAACGAUGGGUAGGGGUCCUGAGAGGGAGAUCCCCCACACUGGUACUGAGACACGGACCAGACUCCUACGGGAGGCAGCAGUGAGGAAUAUUGGACAAUGGGCGCAAGCCUGAUCCAGCCAUGCCGCGUGCAGGAUGACGGUCCUAUGGAUUGUAAACUGCUUUUGUACGAGAAGAAACAUCCCGACGUGUCGGGACUUGACGGUAUCGUAAGAAUAAGGAUCGGCUAACUCCGUGCCAGCCGCCGCGGUAACAC
rnacentral:rRNA from 1 species